CAUCAGUCGCUAUCUCUGCUUCAUCUCCACAAGCAGCUACAACUCCUACAUCUACUUCAGAGGCCAUCACAUCCCUAGUAACAUCAACACCAAAUGUCCCAUCAACAUCAGUAACGCCACAUACAAAUCCGACAACAAUCUCCUUAACAACUGGCUCCAUCUCAACACCAGCACAAUCAUCAACAUCAGAACCCAUCUCAACAUCACCUCUAACGUCCCAUUCAACAUCUCUAUUCACGGAAUCAAUAACCUUUAGCACACAGGCUUCAACAUCAGUCGCUAUCUCUGCUUCAUCUUCACAAGCAGCUACAACUCCUACAUCUACUUCAGAGGCCAUCACAUCCCCAGUAACAUCAACACCAAAUGUCCCAUCAACAUCAGUAACGCCACAUACAAAUCCGACAACAAUCUCCUUAACAACUGUUUCUUCUACGACGGCUACUUCGGCUCCAGCUACGUUUACAACAGCUGCCCAGACGACCUCUAGCUCGGCUACGGUUACAACAGCUGCCCAGACGACCUCUAGCUCGGCUACGGUUACAACAGCUGCCCAGACGACCUCUAGCUCCGCUCCAAGGGACCGGUCAGUGCCGGCUCUCCCACUGGCUCUUGCCAUGGUGCUCCUUUCUCGUCAAUGUCUGAACUUCGCAUAAAAGUGCGUAGUGUAUAAUGUGUAGACCAAUCAGAAAGCUGUGCUAGAAAGCUGUGCAGUUACGUGGCUACUGUGCCUAAGCAGCGUAUGAAGCGCAGAUGAAAUUUCUGCUGAAUUGUGUUAUUAUUUUUCUUCUAUGCAUGUAUCUACUUUUAAUUUAUAAAAAAAUGUGUUCCAACUAAUAUUGUACUGUAUUUUAUGGCUGUGCUACAGCUACCUUCAAAAAAAAGCUUUGUCCCCACCGUCAUCACAGUGCUAAACAGCUUUGUCCCCACCGCCAUCACAGUGCUAAACAGCUUUGUCCCCACCGCCAUCACAGUGCUAAACAAACUGUAAUGCUGCCACCAUCACCUCAGUACUGCCUUGUAGACUUAUGUUUUUCACUUUGAUGUGUCUAGACUUAUGUUUUUCACUUUGAUGUGUCUAGACUUUUUCACUUUGAUGUGUCUAGACUUAUGUUUUUCACUUUGAUGUGUCUAGACUUUUUCACUUUGAUGUGUCUAGACUUAUGUUUUUCACUUUGAUGUGUCUAGACUUUAUGUUUUUCACUUUGAUGUGUCUAGACAUAUGUUUUUCACUUUGAUGUGUCUAGACAUAUGUUUUUCACUUUGAUGUGUCUAGACUUAAGUUUUUCACUUUGGGUGUCUUAAUGUGUGAUGUGUUCUUGGUGUUGAAUGUUUUUUGGGAUAUCCGAUAUAUGUCACUUGCUUUAUCUGUUAGAUGCUGUGUGGAUGGGAUAUAUGUCAAUGGGUGGAUGGGACAUACAUGUUACAUGUUAUAUGUGGUGUUGUGUUUAUAUGUGGUGUUGUACUAUGGAACAUGAAUGGAAAAUGUAUGGAUAUAUAUAUCUUUCUAUCUACAUAAUAUAACAUUAUAACCCCUUCGGUAAUGAUUCAGAAACAUAUGGAAGAAAUGAAGAAGCUCUUUUGCAGCUACUUCAUGCACUGUGUAUUUUUACCAGAUCAUUCAACUGCCGUAAUUGAUUAAUAAAACAUAAGGCAUUUGCUGA